GGACUACACGGGUAUCUAAUCCUGUUCGCUCCCCACGCUUUCGCUCCUCAGCGUCAGUAUCGGCCCAGAGACCCGCCUUCGCCACCGGUGUUCCUCCUGAUAUCUGCGCAUUUCACCGCUACACCAGGAAUUCCAGUCUCCCCUACCGAACUCGAGCCUGCCCGUAUCGACCGCAAGCUUGGAGUUGAGCCCCAAGUUUUCACGGACGACGCGACAAGCCGCCUACGAGCUCUUUACGCCCAAUAAAUCCGGACAACGCUCGCGCCCUACGUCUUACCGCGGCUGCUGGCAC
rnacentral:rRNA from 1 species